AGAACAAGUGACGAGUACAGCCUACUGAGCUUUGCCCCUGUUCUCCCUUGAAAACCCCAUGGGCUAAUGGAGGGAUUACUCACAGUCCUGUGACGAUCUGUGGCGGAAGGUAAACCGAAGGUGACUGCGGUUGACAUCCUCAAUGGGAAUGGCCACCUGCAGAGUGGAAAACGGAACUUUCAGCACCUGUACCAGUAUCUUCUCACAUCAGUGGCCCUGUCUAACUGCAGAUACGGUGCAACCACGCACAACUCGUCACUGCAGUGAUGAAAACACUGGAUACCUAAUCCCCCGUACGACUUUCCAAAGCAAAACGCCUUCUGAAAAUUUAAACUAGGUAAUAUUGCAAAGGACGCCAAACCAACCCUGCGAGACAGCAGAGGUUUUCGUAAACAUUCAGAUCCUCCCUGUUAAGAGUCUACGUUUACGAGUCGCCGUUUUCCUUGGCAGCCCUUCUUGGAGGUGCCCACGCAUCCUCCACAGCCGCGGGGACCUGCCCUCGGCGGCAGGAGCAAAGCUGGCUUGUCAUGACUUCCAGUCCAAGGAGACCCAACGCGCGCUGCCCUUCGGCAAAGACUGUCCCUAAAAACUCUCAUAUCUGACAUCUGUGUGGUAGAGCCAACCCUUGGCCGGGGUCUCAAGUAUUCGAGCCCUUGGCACGUGGGCUGGGGGAGUGCCACGCUGGGCUGCCGUGGUGACGUCAGCGUGCCGCGUGAGGAAAGCAGAGUACGACACCACGGAAGGGGAUUCGUCUCCCCAGCGAUCCCCUCCAUACGCUGUCACCACUAUUUUUUUCCAUUUGGUGUAAAGACAGCAGGCCACACAUCAAACAGACCCGAGAAGAGAAAGAUAAUAGCUAUCUUUAAAGGACCCUGUCAUUUGUCUCCAUGAAAGUCCUAUUUUUAUGUCCAAGAGGAGAUGAGAGUAAAUGUAUUCCAAGAAAUGCCA
rnacentral:lncRNA from 1 species